CUAAGUUUGAUGGCGACCGGCGCACGGGUGAGUAACACGUAUCCAACCUGCCGAUGACUCGGGGAUAGCCUUUCGAAAGAAAGAUUAAUACCCGAUGGCAUAGUUCUUCCGCAUGGUAGAACUAUUAAAGAAUUUCGGUUAUCGAUGGGGAUGCGUUCCAUUAGAUAGUUGGCGGGGUAACGGCCCACCAAGUCAACGAUGGAUAGGGGUUCUGAGAGGAAGGUCCCCCACAUUGGAACUGAGACACGGUCCAAACUCCUACGGGAGGCAGCAUG
rnacentral:rRNA from 1 species